UACGUAGGGUGCGAGCGUUAAUCGGAAUUACUGGGCGUAAAGCGUGCGCAGGCGGUUCGUUAAGUCAGAUGUGAAAGCCCCGGGCUCAACCUGGGAACUGCAUUUGAAACUGGCGGGCUUGAGUGUGGCAGAGGGGGGUGGAAUUCCGCGUGUAGCAGUGAAAUGCGUAGAUAUGCGGAGGAACACCGAUGGCGAAGGCAAUCCCCUGGGCCUGCACUGACGCUCAUGCACGAAAGCGUGGGGAGCAAACAGG
rnacentral:rRNA from 1 species